GACUUCUGGUUUCAUGCACCUGCCCGCGGCCCAAAUGUGUGAGUGCCGGCGCGCGUUUACCAUCCUUCCAGCGGCGGCUACCCUUAACUGGCCGGCUGGAACUGGAUCUUUUACUUUGAAAAAAUUAGAGUGUUUAAAGCAGGCGUUUGCUCUGAAAAUAAUCUAGGACUUCGGUUCUAUUUUGUUGGUUUCUAUAACUAGUAAUGAUUGAUAGGGAUAGUUGGGGGUGCUAGCGGUCAGAGGUGAAAUUCUUGGAUUCGGUCAAGACUAACUUUAUGCGAAAGCAUU
rnacentral:rRNA from 1 species